UUCAUAUGAUGAUACACAUAUUUAACAGUUCUGCUUCUGAACUUCUUGAUGACAAACCUAUACCACUUACCAAACAUAUCUGAUCC
rnacentral:snoRNA from 1 species